rnacentral:rRNA from 1 species
GACGUAGGGCGCGAGCGUUGUCCGGAUUUAUUGGGCGUAAAGAGCUCGUAGGCGGCUUGUCGCGUCGAAUGUGAAAUCCUGCGGCUCAACUGCAGGCUUGCAUUCGAUACGGGCAGGCUAGAGUUCGGUAGGGGAGACUGGAAUUCCUGGUGUAGCGGUGAAAUGCGCAGAUAUCAGGAGGAACACCCGUGGCGAAGGCGGCUCUCUGGGACGGUACUGACGCUGAGACGCGAAAGCGUGGGGAGCGAACAGG